CCAAGAAGAGAAGGUGGGGAGAAGGAGAAGAGACAGGAGGAUACAGAGGACCAUCAAAGGCCGCUGUGGUUGAUGAGGACAGUGAUGGCAACACUGAGAGCGAAUGUGCCCCCAUCUGCUCAGGACUCCAGAAGACACCACCCAACGGAGGACUUGUCUCCUUCCCAUUGACCCCGCAAUGCCACACAGGCAGGCUCUGAGAAGAGUUUUGCUGAGCCUCUCUCUGCUUUAGUGAAGAAGAUUUGGGGCAGAAAGAGCUAUUUUAUUUGCCAUAACCUAAAAUCUCAGUAGCAGCAAGCGAUGCUCUUUUUCUCUUCCGGGAAGGCCGGCUCUGCAGAUCCAGGAAUGAAUGAUGAUGGGCAAAAGAAGAAAAGCAGGAAGGCUGUGGGGGUUUAAAGAUAAGGAAGAUAGUUGUUGCGGUUUGAUCAUGUCUCCCACAAGCUCAUUGGUGGAAUUCUUGGCUUCCAGUUGGUGGCAUUGUUUGCAGAGAUGGUGUAACUGUAGGAGGGGGUUACAGUUAAGAGAUUUCCUUGAGCUUCAGAGGAAACAUUGGACUUUCUGAGCAGUCUUGAGACUGGGAAAGACUAUUUGGACUUGGACUUUCGGAGUUAUACUGAAUGCAGUUUGCUUUAUCAUAUGGCUACAGGUUGUGAGG